rnacentral:rRNA from 1 species
GAUGAACGCUGGCGGCGUGCCUAAUACAUGCAAGUCGAGCGAACGGACGAGAAGUUUGUUUCUCUGAUGUUAGCGGCGGACGGGUGAGUAACACGUGGAUAACCUACCUAUAAGACUGGGAUAACUUCGGGAAACCGGAGCUAAUACCGGAUAAUAUUUUGAACCGCAUGGUUCAAAAGUGAAAGACGGUCUUGCUGUCACUUAUAGCUGGAUCCGCGCUGCAUUAGCUAGUUGGUAAGGUAACGGCUUACCAAGGCAACGAUGCAUAGCCGACGUGAGAGGGUGAUCGGCCACACUGGAACUGAGACGCGGUCCAGACUCCUACGGGAGGCAGCAGUAGGGAAUCUUACGCAAUGGGCGAAAGCCUGACGGAGCAACGCCGCGUGAGUGAUGAAGGUCUUCGGAUCGUAAAACUCUGUUAUUAGGGAAGAACAUAUGUGUAAGUAACUGUGCACAUCUUGACGGUACCUAAUCAGAAAGCCACGGCUAACUACGUG